CUCUGGAUGCAGGGGAUGGAACAGAACAGAGACACGGACUCUGUCAACAGCGAUGCUCCCCAAGCGAGCAGAGGCAGAGCAGCGAAGCCCGCCUCGCAAUCUCCGCUACCCCCAUCGAAGUUGCCACACGCCACCGCAUCUCCCUCCACUCCGCUCCCACUCCCCCGCCACCGCCAUGGCCGCCGCCGCCGCAGCGCCCUCCCUCCUGCACCCACCGGCGGCCCGCAAGGCCCCCACACCUUCUCCCUCUCCUUACCCUUCCCCAUUCCUCCGCCUCCCGGCCCCCGCGCACCCGCGCCUCCCGCUCCGCCUCCGCUCCACCUCCCCGGCCGCCGCCUCCGACCUCACCGACUUCCCCAACCCGAACGGCAUCCUCGCGCCCAUCGACGUGGACGCCGCCACGGAGGCGGAGCUUCGCGAGAACGGGUUCCGGAGCACGCGCCGCACCAAGCUCGUCUGCACCGUGGGCCCGGUCACCUCGUCGCCCGAGCAGCUCGAGGCGCUCGCCGUCGGCGGGAUGAACGUCGCCCGCCUAAACAUGUGCCACGGGGACCGGGAGUGGCACCGGGGCGCCAUCCGGGCAGUCAGGAGGCUAAACGAGGAGAAGGGCUACGCCGUCGCCGUCAUGAUGGACACCGAGGGCAGCGAGAUCCACAUGGGGGACCUCGGCGGCGCCUCAUCGGCCAAGGCGGAGGAUGGAGAAGUCUGGACAUUUAGUGUUAGGUCAUUUGAAUUGCCUCUCCCAGAACGAACUAUUAAUGUGAAUUAUGACGGGUUUGCUGAAGAUGUGAGAGUUGGUGAUGAGCUUCUUGUGGAUGGUGGAAUGGCUCGGUUUGAGGUGAUUGAGAAGUUGGGACCAGAUGUUAAGUGUCGCUGCACAGAUCCUGGUUUAUUGUUGCCACGUGUGAAUCUUACAUUCUGGCGUGAUGGCAGUAUUGUCCGUGAGAGGAAUGCUAUGCUUCCUACAAUUUCAUCAAAGCUUGCCGGAGGCCCUUGACGCAGCGCUGCCAUCCGCAAGCCCUAACGCCGCCGACGCGCCCCUCUCCUCGGUUGAUUUGGGAAGGCGCGGGACUGAGGCAGGGAGAUUGGGAAGCAGAGCUUCCUGUUCCUCGUCUGCUACUCUGCUUCAAUUGGGCACCGGGAAAAGCGAUGCUGCCGGGUGCUCGGGUUCUUGGAGAGGGGAUGGAAUGGAAUGAUGGAUCGAUGCGGGAUGCGUUGCUGUUGCUAGCGGCUUCUGAUUGGAGAGAGGAGAGAAGCUGGUUGCUUGUGUUACCGUGAACGUGAAGGAAAACAGAGUAGGGAGGAGAGCAAGCUGCUGGUGCAGGAGCAUCAUGGCUACGGCAAUGGCAGCGCCUCUCUCCAGGUCAUCCCCGAGCUUCAUGUCAAGAGCGUUGGAAACAACCUGGGAGAACCUACAUCCUUGUAAUCCUUCUUCAUGAUGAGGAAUCAGUCAGGGACCAUGAACUGGCGAGGGUUAGGAACCACAUUCUUGAGGCGCUCAAGCUCAUCUGGGGACACCUCACGAGCUCUGCACAAAAAUAUUAUCAUCAGAGCUAAACUUCAUGCAAUGGGGCAUUCUAGCUGUAGCAUACAACAACCUACUGGCCCAGUUUGUUAUUGCGGCACAUGGAAAAUUAGUGGGAAAGUGGUGCGAUGCACCCAUCUCAAAUCUCCAACUUCAAAAAACAUGAAUGCCAAAGACUUCUGCAUAGGCUGUCUUUAGAUGGCAGAUGUUUUUUAAAACACGUUUUCCAAUGGGCUUCACUCUCAAGUAGAUUCAGAAAAGCUAAUUGAUGAUCGGCACCAAGCCACAGAUGACUGCCACUAAUGAACAGUCAGUAGAUAAUUUCUGCAUUGUUGC